rnacentral:rRNA from 1 species
GACGAACGUUGGCGGCGUGCUUAAUACAUGCAAGUCAACUGAAGCAGUGGUAGCAAUAUCGCUGUGGAGGUGGCGCACGGGUGAGUAACACGUAGGUAAUCCGCCUUCAGGUCUGGCAUAACUCCGGGAAACCGGGGCUAAUAGCAGAUGAUGCAGCGGCUCGACAUCGAGACAGUUGUUAAAGCUAUGGCGCCUGAAGAUGAGCCUGCGUCUGAUUAGCUAGUUGGCGGGGUAACGGCCCACCAAGGCAACGAUCAGUAGCUGGUCUGAGAGGAUGAUCAGCCACACUGGAACUGAGACACGGUCCAGACUCCUACGGGAGGCAGCAGUAAGGAAUAUUGCUCAAUGGGAGAAAUCCUGAAGCAGCAACGCCGCGUGAGGGACGAAGGGCUUUUGCUUGUAAACCUCUGUAGUGAGAGAAAAAAAUCCCAAUCUUUGGGACAUGAUGGUAUCUCAAAAGUAAGCCCCGGCUAACUACGUG